rnacentral:tRNA from 1 species
GUAGAGCUAUCGGCUGUUAACCGAUCGGUCGUAGGUUCGAGUCCUACCUGCGGAGCCA